rnacentral:rRNA from 1 species
UACGUAGGUGGCAAGCGUUGUCCGGAUUUACUGGGCGUAAAGAGCGCGCAGGCGGUCGUUCAAGUCGCGUGUGAAAGCCCCCGGCUCAACUGGGGAGGGUCACGCGAUACUGAUCGACUCGAAGGCAGGAGAGGGUAGUGGAAUUCCCGGUGUAGUGGUGAAAUGCGUAGAGAUCGGCAGGAACACCAAGGGGGGAAACCAGCGAACUGGGCCAUUUCUGACGCUCAGGUGCGAAAGCGUGGGGAGCGAACCGG